UUCAGCUGAAACAUCGACGAUUAUUUCAACAACAUUUCAAAAUUUGGCUGAAACAUCAACGGUCAUUUCCAGAUCAAUUCAAAAUUCAGCUAGUAAUCCAAUGUAUACAAUUAUAAUUGUAUCUGUAUUGGUAAUUGUCCUGACUUCUUUAGGGGUCAUCAUAGCUGUUGUUUGCUACAGAAGGAAGAACGCGAAGCAUGCACAACCGAUUGGUACUCGACAAGAAGGAACUGCAAACGAUAUGACCGAUUCAACGGACUAUACUACAAUAAACUAUAAUGAAAUGAAAGAUAUUGACAUCUCCAAGAUAAAUGAAAACAGGAAGAAUAAAAUUACAACGCUUUGCAAUUUGCAAGGCAAUAAAGCUUCCGCUGACAAUGAGGAAGACAACUGUUAUAAGUACGAAUCAUUGGCAACCAUUCGAAUCUCAAGGGAACAUAUUUAUGAAUCAGGAUGUGCUCACGACAACCAAUAUCAGUCAUUAACAAACCAACGGGAAUUCGAUGAACAUUCAUACGAAUCUACAGAGCAUGCCUUAGCGCAAUAUCAAUCGCUUACUAA